GUCGGAAUCGCUAGUAAUCGUGGAUCAGAAUGCCACGGUGAAUACGUUCCCGGGCCUUGUACACACCGCCCGUCACACCAUGGGAGUGGGUUGCAAAAGAAGUAGGUAGCUUAACCUUCGGGAGGGCACUUACCACUUUGUGAUUCAUGACUGGGGUGAAGUCGUAACAAGGUAACCGUAGGGGAACCUGCGGUUGGAUCACCUCCUUACCUUAAAGAAGC
rnacentral:rRNA from 1 species